rnacentral:rRNA from 1 species
GACGAACGCUGGAGGCGUGCUUAACACAUGCAAGUCGAACGAUGAAAUGGAGCUUGCUCCAUGGAUUAGUGGCGAACGGGUGAGUAACACGUGAAUAACCUGCCCUUAAUUUUGGAAUAACCCUGGGAAACCUGGGCUAAUACCGGAUAAGUAAACCUGUGGCAUCACAUGGUUUUGGAAAGUUUUUCGAUUAAGGAUGGAUUCGCGGCCUAUCAGCUUGUUGGUGAGGUAAUGGCUCACCAAGGCGACGACGGGUAGCCGGCCUGAGAGGGUGAACGGCCACACUGGGACUGAGACACGGCCCAGACUCCUACGGGAGGCAGCAGUGGGGAAUAUUGCGCAAUGGACGAAAGUCUGACGCAGCGACGCCUCGUGAGGGACGAAGGUCUUCGGAUUGUAAACCUCUUUCAGCAGGGACGAAGCGAAAGUGACGGUACCUGCAGAAGAAGCACCGGCUAACUAUGUGCCAGCCGCCGCCGUAA